AAUAAAGUGCCUGAUAAAAGGAUUAUUCUGAUAGAGUAAAUUAUGUAGAAUUCUACCUUUAUUA
rnacentral:tRNA from 1 species